rnacentral:rRNA from 1 species
ACGCACGCUGGCGGCGUGCUUAACACAUGCAAGUCGAACGGAAAGGCCCUGCUUUUGUGGGGUGCUCGAGUGGCGAACGGGUGAGUAACACGUGAGUAACCUGCCCUUGACUUUGGGAUAACUUCAGGAAACUGGGGCUAAUACCGGAUAGGAGCUCCUGCUGCAUGGUGGGGGUUGGAAAGUUUCGGCGGUUGGGGAUGGACUCGCGGCUUAUCAGCUUGUUGGUGGGGUAGUGGCUUACCAAGGCUUUGACGGGUAGCCGGCCUGAGAGGGUGACCGGCCACAUUGGAACUGAGAUACGGCCCAGACUCCUACGGGAGGCAGCAGUGGGGAAUAUUGCACAAUGGGCGGAAGCCUGAUGCAGCAACGCCGCGUGCGGGAUGACGGCCUUCGGGUUGUAAACCGCUUUCGCCUGUGACGAAGCGUGAGUGACGGUAAUGGGUAAAGAAGCACCGGCUAACUACGUG